rnacentral:rRNA from 1 species
AUACGAAAGGGGCUAGCGUUGUUCGGAAUUACUGGGCGUAAAGCGCAUGUAGGCGGUUUGCUAAGUUAGGGGUGAAAUCCCGGAGCUCAACUCCGGAACUGCCUCUAAAACUGGUAUACUAGAGGAUGUGAGAGGAUAGUGGAAUUCCGAGUGUAGAGGUGAAAUUCGUAGAUAUUCGGAAGAACACCAGUGGCGAAGGCGACUGUCUGACACAUUUCUGACGCUGAGAUGCGAAAGCGUGGGGAGCAAACAGGAUUAGAAACCCCUGUAGUCC